AGAGUUUGAUCAUGGCUCAGAUUGAACGCUGGCGGAAUGCUUUACACAUACAAGUCGAACGGCAGCACGGACUUCGGUCUGGUGGCGAGUGGCGAACGGGUGAGUAAUAUAUCGGAACGUAUCCAAUAAUGGGGGAUAGCUAAUCGAAAGGUUGGCUAAUACCGCAUACGCCCUACGGGGGAAAGCUGGGGACCUUCGGGCCUGGCGUUAAUGGAGCGGCCGAUAUCUGAUUAGCUAGUUGGUGAGGUAAAGGCUCACCAAGGCGACGAUCAGUAGCUGGUCUGAGAGGACGACCAGCCACACUGGAACUGAGACACGGUCCAGACUCCUACGGGAGGCAGCAGUGGGGAAUUUUGGGCAAUGGGCGAAAGCCUGAUCCAGCCAUUCCGCGUGAGUGAAGAAGGCCUUCGGGUUGUAAAGCUCUUUCGCAAGGGAAGAAAGAUUACUCUCUAACAUAGAGUGAUUAUGACGGUACCUUGAUAAGAAGCACCGGCUAACUACGUGCCAGCAGCCGCGGUAAUACGUAGGGUGCGAGCGUUAAUCGGAAUUACUGGGCGUAAAGCGUGCGCAGGCGGUUUUGUAAGUCAGAUGUGAAAUCCCCGAGCUCAACUUGGGAGCUGCGUUUGAAACUACAAGACUAGAAUAUGUCAGAGGGGGGUAGAAUUCCACGUGUAGCAGUGAAAUGCGUAGAGAUGUGGAGGAAUACCAAUGGCGAAGGCAGCCCCCUGGGAUAAUAUUGACGCUCAUGCACGAAAGCGUGGGGAGCAAACAGGAUUAGAUACCCUGGUAGUCC
rnacentral:rRNA from 1 species